GAUGAACGCCGGCGGCGUGCCUGAUACAUGCAAGUCGAGCGAACGGACGAGAAGCUUGCUUUUCUGAUGUUAGCGGCGGACGGGUGAGUAACACGUGGAUAACCUACCUAUAAGACUGGGAUAACUUCGGGAAACCGGAGCUAAUACCGGAUAAUAUUUUGAACCGCAUGGUUCAAAAGUGAAAGACGGUCUUGCUGUCACUUAUAGAUGGAUCCGCGCUGCAUUAGCUAGUUGGUAAGGUAACGGCUUACCAAGGCAACGAUGCAUAGCCGACCUGAGAGGGUGAUCGGCCACACUGGAACUGAGACACGGUCCAGACUCCUACGGGAGGCAGCAGUAGGGAAUCUUCCGCAAUGGGCGAAAGCCUGACGGAGCAACGCCGCGUGAGUGAUGAAGGUCUUCGGAUCGUAAAACUCUGUUAUUAGGGAAGAACAUAUGUGUAAGUAACUGUGCACAUCUUGACGGUACCUAAUCAGAAAGCCACGGCUAACUACGUG
rnacentral:rRNA from 1 species